rnacentral:rRNA from 1 species
AGUGAACGCUGGCGGUAGGCCUAACACAUGCAAGUCGAACGGCAGCACAGUAAGAGCUUGCUCUUACGGGUGGCGAGUGGCGGACGGGUGAGGAAUACAUCGGAAUCUACUUUUUCGUGGGGGAUAACGUAGGGAAACUUACGCUAAUACCGCAUACGACCUACGGGUGAAAGCAGGGGAUCUUCGGACCUUGCGCGAUUGAAUGAGCCGAUGUCGGAUUAGCUAGUUGGCGGGGUAAAGGCCCACCAAGGCGACGAUCCGUAGCUGGUCUGAGAGGAUGAUCACCCACACUGGAACUUAGACACGGUCCAGACUCCUACGGGAGGCAGCAGUGGGGAAUAUUGGACAAUGGGCGCAAGCCUGAUCCAGCCAUACCGCGUGGGUGAAGAAGGCCUUCGGGUUGUAAAGCCCUUUUGUUGGGAAAGAAAAGCAGCAGGUUAAUACCCCGCUGUUCUGACGGUACCCAAAGAAUAAGCACCGGCUAACUUCGUG